AAGAGUUUUGAAUUGUGUGUAAACCGUAAUUAAUGUAAUAAAAGCAAGAAAAACAUAAGUACAGAUUACAGAAGCUACAAAGAAAAUACAAGGCAACCAGGCUGAGGAGGUAUAUUUCUACUAGUUAUAGUUGUGAAAUUCUAAGCCCACUGUUUUUGUUCAGUUUUACCAUAGUCAUUAAGUUGCAUCCCAGUCUCACCAUAGUUCUGCUGCAUCAUUGCUGCUAAUUGCUUCAUCCUCUGCUGCUAUAUGAGCUUGGUAUACCUGACAAACAUACCAUCUUUCAUAGUUUUUUACAGUCUCAAUUUGAUGAUAGCUGCCGGUAUCAGGAUGUUGGACAAUAGUGACAACUUGGGGUCCGUGAUAAACGUAUUGGUUCGGUACCAGCUGCUUCUGAUGAUGAUAGUGAUCUUGAUUUCUCGAAGAAGGAACACGCCUGUGACUGUGAGCCUUCCCGGUCUGCCGGCCAUAUAGCUCAUCUCUCAAGGGGAAGCCUUCUGAGGCAACCUUCUUAAGAUGAUUUAUUGAACAUGCCAUGGUUACUAUUUCUUUUAGUUUGGAGAAAGCGAAUUGUUUUUCUUGGUUAUAUGGUUAGAGGCCAGGCCCCUUAUAUACACGUAUAGGAAGUUUAGCUGCAUU
rnacentral:lncRNA from 1 species